GGCCCUGUGGCGCAGUUGGUUAGCGCGCCGCCCUGUCACGGCGGAGGUCGCGGGUUCGAGUCCCGUCAGGGUCGCAAGUA
rnacentral:tRNA from 1 species